rnacentral:ncRNA from 2 species
UGGCUCGGUGAGGCCUCCGGACUGGCUCAGGAGGGUUGGCAACGACCCCCCAGAGCCGGAAAGCUGGUCAAACCCGGUCAUUUAGAGGAAGUAAAAGUCGUAACAAGGUUUCCGUAGGUGAACCUGCGGAAGGAUCAUUACCGAGUGAGGGUUUCUCUGAAGCCCAACCUCCCACCCGUGUAUACCGUACCCUGUUGCUUCGGCGGGCCCGCCUCACGGCCGCCGGGGGACCUCGCGUCCCCGGGCCCGCGCCCGCCGAAGACCCCAACACGAACACUGUCUGAAAAGUGCAGUCUGAGUCGAUUGUUACCAAUCAGUCAAAACUUUCAACAAUGGAUCUCUUGGUUCCGGCAUCGAUGAAGAACGCAGCGAAAUGCGAUAACUAAUGUGAAUUGCAGAAUUCAGUGAAUCAUCGAGUCUUUGAACGCACAUUGCGCCCCCUGGUAUUCCGGGGGGCAUGCCUGUCCGAGCGUCAUUGCUGCCCUCAAGCACGGCUUGUGUGUUGGGCCCCGUCCCCGGUACCCCCGGGGACGGGCCCGAAAGGCAGCGGCGGCACCGCGUCCGGUCCUCGAGCGUAUGGGGCUUUGUCACCCGCUCUGCAGGCCCGGCCGGCGCCAGCCGACCAACCCAACCAUUUUUUACAGGUUGACCUCGGAUCAGGUAGGGAUACCCGCUGAACUUAAGCAUAUCAAUAAGCGGAGGAAAAGAAACCAACCGGGAUUGCCUCAGUAACGGCGAGUGAAGCGGCAAGAGCUCAAAUUUGAAAGCUGGCUCCUUCGGGGUCCGCAUUGUAAUUUGCAGAGGAUGCUUCGGGUGCGGCCCCUGUCUAAGUGCCCUGGAACGGGCUGUCAGAGAGGGUGAGAAUCCCGUCUGG